rnacentral:rRNA from 1 species
UCUUCGGAGAGUUUGAUCCUGGCUCAGGAUGAACGCUGGCGGCGUGCCUAAUACAUGCAAGUCGAGCGAACUGAUUAGAAGCUUGCUUCUAUGACGUUAGCGGCGGACGGGUGAGUAACACGUGG